GAAUAAAACCUUGAUUGAAUAGAUUUCCAACCUGCCUGGUUUAGCUGCUCAUAAAACUUGGUUAAUGUUUGUGUCAAACCAGUGGUGUUUGUUCACUUAUUUCUUGCUCAGUUUUACUUUUCCAAUCUCUUCAUCUCUACCUUAAAGAUACAGUACAGUCCCCUGAUUCUGUUUAAGUGAUCCAAAUACACACUCAAAAUUUCCUCCCAGGUCACCAUGUUUUGAUUCUCAUAGUUGGAUUUCAAAACAUAAACAGCAUUGCUAUUGGGUGGUAUAAGAAAAUUGGAAAGUGCAUCUUGAAGGGACUACACUGUAUGGGAGAUACUGAUGCCCUCAGAAGGGUACAGGAUAUGUUUCACUGCAUUGGGUCUGAAGAGUGCUACAGUGACAGUGAGACUGUGAGAUGCUGAAAAGCUACAUGAAAAUACAAGAAAUAGCUCCUGAGUGACAGAGAACGCACACAGGAUUCAGAGCGGCGUCUAAAGGUUGAAGAAGUAAUUAACAGCAUCCAUUAAGAAGAGAGAAUGGGUCCAAAUCUGCAGCCUGCGUGUGAAGUGUGAAGAGUGUUGUUAGAAAAUGCUGGAGCGUCUAUGGAGACUCUCAUUCAUUCCUUCCUGGCUAAAUACAAAAUUUGACUGUUAUUAUUACAAUCACAAGUACAGAUUACACUCAUCCUACAAUACAUUUUCUCAGUGAAGGUAUUAUCUCCCAUCAUUCAAUACAGAAAUUGCUUGGUAAGAGUUCAUUUCAAACUUUUAAAAGCUGCUAUCUCAUUUUGCUAUCAAAGUCUUCACAUCCAUUUCAUAAUAAUAAUAAUGACAAUGUCAAACUUACUUUGAAUAAUCUUUUGGAUAUUAAAUUUCAUCAUUUCUGUGGCAGCUUGGAUCUUGAAAGCCCUGAUGGCUAAAAUGUUAAUAAGCUAGCUAAUAAAAGGAAAGGAACAGUAUUUAGGCUGUCAUGGCUGGCUUCUCAGCUGCAGGGGCUCUGUUGUUUGUUUUGAAGCACUAAUAAUGGCUGCGCAGACUUAUAAUUAUGAACUUAGUGAGGUGAGGAAAUUACUAGAGAUGAAUAGACAGCAGGGGACCAGAUUGUUGGAAGGCACAUAUCAGAGUCUGUUCUUGACUCACUCUGAUGACGGGAGGUGGAAAUGAAUGAGCCUCAUUCCAAAAACAAGAUAGAAUACAUGCUCAUAUAGAAGAAAAGCAAACAAAAAGGCAUAAUCUGCCUUCAGAGUAUUGUGUGGAGGUUUUAUUAUUUGUUUCUCUGUUAUCCUGUUAAGUUUAGUGGUGCUGUACAAAAACAGAUAGAAAAAGGUGGUGCACAAAAGAUAAAAGAAAAACUAGUACAAUUACAGUAAACAGUAUUUCCGGUCAGAGCAAGUGUGAGCUAUGUUUAGUGUUAAAGCACUGUUUAACUUUACAAAAUCCAAACUGAAUGAUUAUGUCACAUGUUCUGUACUCAACCUCUGCUCAGGAUGAAGUUGGGUGGCGCUGUGCAGAGAAUUAUGUGAGGUCACCAAAAUCUGUAUAGUAAUGAAAAUAAUAUGGGUCUACUUUGUCCCGCCCUAAAACGUUAACUAAAACGUUCAGAAAAGAUAAGAGGAGAAUCAGAGAGAUGUCAAUCAAGCAGAGGCUCUACACGCCCACGCAGACAGAAAGUAUUAAGUCCAAUUAAGAUUUCAUGUAAUUUAUGUCUACAAACUACAGCAUUUUUCUAAAUGAUUUUUAAAUGGUGUUGAGGGUUUUGUUUCCAAAUAACUAAAUAAAUAUAACUGAUUAAAAGUAAAAUAUGAUUUUAAAAGUUAAAGUCCCCCUCCACGCAAAACUGUUUUUCUUCUUGUUCCUCCAGUUUAAUGUUUGAGCUUCACUGCAGAGUUUGACACUAGAAGAAUGUUUUCACAUUCAUUUGCUGAAAGUUUCUCUGUGCUCAUUGAAAAUCUAAUUUUCAGGGUUGUGCCUACAAGCAUGAUUUGUGACAUCACAAACAGUUUGGAAGCCAAUCCUGGUCCAAUACUGAUGUUGAACACAUCAGAUACAAAUUAUUAUUCAGAGUAGAGAAAUUAGUACAUGUUAAAACAUGUCUGGAGGGGAUCUUUAAGUUUUAAUCAUGUCCUAUUUAGUCUCUCAUACAAAUCCAUUAAAACCAGUUUUCUUUUAUCACUCAUACUGUUUCUCCCAUUCAAACAAUACGCUCAUUUGUUUUGGUGGAUAAGUUGGCUAUACACAUUAUCUCAUCCUCCUUUUUCUCACUUUCUCUGCCCCUCUUUCAUUUCUCUCUCUGACUAACCUACCACCUGUGCUGAAUAGGCUUCUUCCCACCUGUUUCCCUUCUCUCCAUCUUCCUCUCUUUUUCACCAUCCCUCCCCUCUGUCUCCCUGCAUGUACACUAACAGGUGGCAGAAAAGUGCAGGAGAAUUUCCCAAGAUGCAGUGGGAGGUGUUUCUCCACGAGUGUAUUUGUGUAUACGCUGUGAUUGUUCGCUUAUGAUGUCAAGACUGUUAUUUACAUCUGCAGCGUGGCACCGACAGCUGCUGCUGUCCGUGCCGCCUAUCUGUCAGCCAACCACGAAACAGUGUUGCCGUAACCCAGAGAUACGGAGGGGUUCAGCAGUUUGCACAUAUCCGUGUGUCAGUCAGAGUAACCUUUAGCUGGAUCAACAGUGUGGGCCGGUGUUUCAGUGAAUUGAAAAAGUAAAAUAGCUUGCAUAUAAAAUUCCUUCUGCAUCACAUGAACAAGUGGUUUGUUCCAGGUGUGAGUGUGACCUAUGACGAUGUUUCUACAUAUUUUACAAAGCCAUCACACAUAUUGUGACAUGUGGACAGCAACAAUAAUUGGAUGUGUGACCCUGUGAUGAAUCUUUCUAUCUACAAACUGAUAUGUAACUCUGUGUCUAAGGUAACUGUGAGAAAGAGAAGACUUAAAUUGAUGCACAAUACACAUGUGAAUAAACUGUGAAAACAUGCUUGCAUCUCUUGCGUUGGUUUCUUUUUUUUGGGGGCCAUUUAUGCACUUAAAGGUGGGGUAUGCGAUUCUGGAGAAAUCCAAUACCACGACAAAUACCAUGAGAUAGAGCGAACAGCGACACAGCAAGAGAUCGCAUUGCUAAUGCAGCCACGUUAUGCCAAAACAAAACAGGAUGCAAAGCAAUAAUAAACCAAAAUCUGAGACUAGAAACUCAACUAAAACUGGGACCAUACCUUAAAUCUUAAUGAUACUGCCCCGUGAUACAUGGUACAUCGGUAGUAUAAGUCUAAUAGAGACUGUAUAAUGAUGUUUUGUAUGAUUUGGCAAGAAGCUUCAUUGGAAUUGCACUGAUUACAACAAUUGCUACAGAAGCGUGCAUUUGUUCAAUUUAGAGCGACUUUGACCUCUAAUACACCAUCACUGUCUUUAAAAGCAGUGGUUCUUAUAGCAACACAGAGAAGUGCUAGUCUUUUCCACGCUGACUGAGAUUGGUCUGUUCAAUGGAUAAAACUAGUUUUCAGGUAGGGUACAAGAAGUGUACAGGAAUGUAUUUUUUUAUUUUUCUUUAAAAGAUUAUUUUAGUUUAUAGUAGCUGAAGGUUAUUUUAGUUCCCCUGCCCACCAAAGCUUGGUGUGAGACCUGGAAGCUCACAGUGAAACCGGGGGCCAUCGCUAUCAUCACUACUGCUUUUACUGUGAAUAGAGGCCUUUUUUCAAAAGUUUCCAUGGUGGUGUCUACUGGAUUUAGAACUGAAAUCGAGAAAAACAAACACAUAGCAAAUAUUCGGAUGUGAAAAUUUUGCUGGCUUCAUAACUAAAAGGUCAUCUCUAAGCAACCCCCCAGCAUUUAAUGAUGUCAGAUUGUGUCCACAGUAACGCCACUGACAGUAACCACAACAAUAACUAUGAGACUAAUGAGAUUGUUUUCCGUCUCAGAGUUUCUCUCAGAGUGUUUCUGUGGAUAUGCGUGCAAAUGUGUGUUACUGGCCGGUAAUUCCCGCCGACACCUUCAUUAAAAGUUAGAUUAGCGCUGUUUAAUGAGAGGCGGCCGCUGAUUAACAAACAGGUCACACCAGAGAAAGAGAAACAGAGGUAGAGAGAAGGACAGGGAGAGGAAGAAAGACGGGGAAAUUUCCACAUCAGAAGAGGCGAGGAUAAAUGAGGGGCAGGCAUU